rnacentral:lncRNA from 1 species
GUAUAAGAUGUUUACAAUAUAUAAAUAGGAAAAAUCACAAUAUUCAUUUAUUUCUUUUUCUUCGCUGGUAACAUUUUACAAGGUAAGAUGAAAUGUCUUCUGUCGCAUUAAGUUAAAUGAUCGAAAAUAAAGGGGCUAUAUCAACAGUCCUUUGAUAAAGCCAUUAAAGGAAAGGAAAACUAACUGUCAAUAAAUGUUAAAAAAGUUUCAUAAAUUCAUUACUAAAACAAUUCCAUUUGAACGUUUGCAAUAAGCUCCAUACCAUGUUUUAUGAUCAGAAAGGAGCAAUUGAUAACUGGUGUUAUUUAUCGUACUAUUAUGUUCAGAUGAAUGCAUUACGAUACUAUUUUAUGUAUAUUUCGAAUAUUCAAAAGGUAUAAAUCGUCAGAAUUUUGUUGAAAAUAUCUUCGAACUCGAGUAUGAUAUCUCAAACAAACACCAUUAACGGUUCGGUUCAUCAGUGUAACAUCAAACGGCACAUUAAGAGGGAUCUGUAUGAAAACAGCAUUCAACUUUAUAUUACCGAUGUAAAUGAUAUCAAAAUGCAGUAACGAAAAAAAAACAUUAUAUUGCAAAUCUUAAACACCUCCCGUGGAGCAUCUCGUUAUAUACGUUAUAAUAUCAGAGGUUGUACUUUGGUUUAUCUUUCAUAUGCAAAAUCGGGAAAAGUAUACGUGUUUUGUUUUUGGUUGGUGUCCAUUUAUUUAGUUUUUGUUUUUGGCGAUUGUUGUAUAUUAGCUGUAAAUGCUGAACAGAUGUGUAAAAGAUUAGACAAACAUCAUCUCCCAAACAUUCGGUCGAGCCCAUCUCUGACUAGAACAAUUAACCUUUCUAUAAAUGAGAAAUCCCUCUCUAGGAUGUCUUAUAAUUCACUCUUUCCAAAGUACAAUUAAUCUUUAAGUAAAAUUGAAAGACAUGUUUUAACUUACGGCAAUCUUGUUUCAGACAAUGAAGAUAUUAUCUGUUGUGUACAUAUUGUUGUUGGUUUUAACAGCUGCUGUAGCCCAGUAUUACUCUGGUCAAGGUUUGUAAUUUUUUGAAGCUCGGACUACGGUAGAAAUGGUGCUUAAUGCUAUCUGAUAUGUGUGUCAUGGAUAUUUAAAACUUAGUACACUUGUCAGUUAUAUAUACUGUUAACUUUUAAAAAUCUACACCAAAAAACGGUUUUGAUCUCAAUUUCAUGCAUAUGGUUCAUUGGACAUAACAAUGUGACAGUGUAAAAUUGCAACUUUAUCAGGUUGAAUGGUCACAGCAACUUGGAACAAAUUUGCAUUCUGAGGAGAAUUUUUGAAAUUUCAUAACAAAUUUAGAAGUGCUUUUGACUUCAAUUUCAUGGUUCGUUGUACAUGGUCACCUGGAAAUGCUAGUGGAUCAUCGUUUCAAUUUAUUUUGUAACAGCUUCUUGACGUAUGUAUGUCCGGUUUACAAUUGGUGUUGAGAGUAAUUUCUCAAAACAUUCAAUUUUAAUUCCGCGAAAGGAACGAUAUAAAUCGGUUAGUGAUAAAUGGCAGUAUAUAAAACUGUUUGUGUUAAACUAGACCAUUGAGUUCAACAAGUCCGGAAAAUUGUAUUAUACUCUGUUAUAAUUGCUGUAAUUCUUUAGGUAAAGUUAAAAAAAAAAGGUAAACCAAAAAUGCAUUAUUGUCAUGCCUGUUGUUCACGGGUGUGACCUACCGAAUAAGACUACUUAGUUUUUGCUGGGGUUCAUGUUGAUUAGAAUACACUUACAUACAUAUAUAAAUAAACCAAUAUACAUUUUUUGCAGGAAUGGGAAGAUAUCAAUUUGGUCAAAGUAGAGGAGGAGGCGGAAACAGGUUACGGGGAAGAUAUUACCAGGGGAAAUGAUUACAACAACUUCAUUUGUGCUGAUUUGACAAAAUAGUGAAAUCUAU